UACGGAGGGAGCUAGCGUUGUUCGGAAUUACUGGGCGUAAAGCGCACGUAGGCGGCUUUGUAAGUUAGAGGUGAAAGCCCGGGGCUCAACCCCGGAAUUGCCUUUAAGACUGCAUCGCUUGAAUCCGGGAGAGGUGAGUGGAAUUCCGAGUGUAGAGGUGAAGUUCGUAGAUAUUCGGAAGAACACCAGUGGCGAAGGCGGCUCACUGGACCGGUAUUGACGCUGAGGUGCGAAAGCGUGGGGAGCAAACAGG
rnacentral:rRNA from 1 species